AGUGAACGCUGGCGGUGGGCCUAAUACAUGCAAGUCGAACGAACGCACAGUAAGAGCUUGCCCUUAAGGUUAGCGACUGGCGGAUGGGUGAGACGUACAUAGCCUACUUCUUUUUCUUGGGUAAUUUCGUGGAACCGGUUCCACUACCACCUAAUAUGUUCUACGGGUGGGAUCAAGAGAUCAUCGCAGUUUUCCUGUCUCUUUUAGCCGGAGUCGGAUUAGCUAGUUGGUAGGGUAAAGGCCCACCAAGGCAACGAUACGUAGCUGAUCUGAGAGGAUGAUCAGCCACACUGGAACUGAGACACGGUCCAGACUCCUACGGGAGGCAGCAGUGGGGAAUAUUGCGCAAUGGGCGAAAGCCUGAUGCAGCAAUGCCGCGUGAGUGAUGAAGGCCUUCGGGUUGUAAAGCUCUUUUGUUAGGAAAGAAAAGAAGUAUAUGAAUACCCCGCUGUUCUGACGGUACCCAAAGAAAAAGCACCGGCUAACUUCGUG
rnacentral:rRNA from 1 species